CUCGCCAUGGCCCACUCCGAGCUACAUGGUGAAGUCACUGAACCAGGAGUUGCAGCUGUCACCAGUGCAAGGCAGCUCCAACACACCAGUAGAACAACCGGGUGAGAAAACAGACACAUUUUUGCAACCAAGAUAAGGUUAGAAUGACUGUUCUCAUGACCCAACUACUCAUCAAGAAUGCAUUUUCAGAGUCAGCACAAUCGUGGGCAAUCAGGAGGCAAUCACCAGUGUGAUGGAGGCUAGUGAGGAUGCGAUGGAGGCCAGUAACAGUGGAGCUCUCAAGAGAGUCCAAAGCCACCCUCCAGCAAAUAUGGUCGGCAGCUGCUAAGGGAAGCAUUUAGUCUCUCCCUGCUCUGCAGCCACCAAACCACGAGCAACGCCAUCCCAGAUGAGCCCCCAUAAUUGUUGUCAAAACUGUAAGGGAGUUUCGGUCUAGGUCCAGUUGCUCUUUACACAAUGAUCCAAUUAUUGAAACAAUGAAGAUUGGCAAGGAAGAAAGGAAUUUUUAAAAUGACAGACAUCUUGUGGGGAGAAUGGGAGAAGCUGCCUCAAAUUCAUCUCUCGGACUAAGGGAUAUUCUGGGCUUUCAAAGGAAGGGCCACAUACCUUGGGGCAGGCUGUGUGGUAUAACUAACAAGGGACUAUGUGCUUUGGUGGCAGGUUGCAGGGGAUGGUGAAUCUUGUCAGGAAGUCUGCCGUGAGGCCUUCAGAAUCUCAGCUACUUUGUCUUACAGAAAAUCCACCAUUUCUGGGAAACAAUUCAAAAGGUCAAGUAGUUAAGGGAGAGGAUUAUAUAGGGGUUAUUGAAAUUUGUCCAAUGGAGGACCAGUUACAGUAGUUAGAAACUUUCUAAUCAGAAGUAGAAUUCCUGUAGAUAAAAUAGAGACAUGUUGCAAAUCCUAGGAGAGGGGAUAAUAAAACAUAAUUAAACAUUAACCUUAAUAGCAAAUGAUUAUUAUUCAGGCAUUAAAUGUACU